CGAGUGCCUUAGCUAAGUGCGCCACAUUAGUUGACACACUGUUUGCAUGGCACAGAAGAGAGGUUAAGGUGUGAGAAUUAACUCUCAAAAGCCCGAAGCAGCAUUUUAGCCAGAUUAGCAUGCUACGCUAAAAAAUGCUAACGUUGCUCAAAGUUAACCAGAUAGCUCAGGAGACCCAUUAGAGUCAAUAGAAACGUGUUAGCAUUUUAGCUAAUUAGCAUGCUAAGCUAACUAGCAUAAAUUAACAAGCACAGGCACGGUCAAGUUCAGAGCUGUACAUAUCGGGAACGGGAGUGAAUAUCAAAAAUCUGUUCAGUCAUUUCUGUCAGGCCCGGUCUGAACUUCAUCUGAUAACAUUUUGGACAAAAUUGAACAAGAUUUCAGGGAGGAGUAGCGAAAAAACUGUAUUUCAUUCCAUUCAAUAUGGCGGACAGACGCCAUAUUGGAAAAUGAAAAUUGAGACAUCAUCAGAUUCGGCAUAACCAAAGGAAUAAAAUGACAUAAAAAUAACAAAAAUCGAUCAACAUUUACAGUAGUUAUAAGGGGUUUUGCAAGAAUCGUUAUAUCUCUUGAACACUAGGUGGCGCUGUCUUCUAACUUCCGGGGUACCUCAGGCACAUGUUGUUGAUGAUGCCUAUCGAUUUUUGUGAAGAUAUGUACAAUAGAUCAAAAGAUAUAGCAAUUUAUGACAAAAUUCAAAAUGGCGGACGGGUGGUCCUGGUGGUCUCGACAAAAUUGACAUCCACAGAUCCGGAAUGAUCUAAAGAAUCCAUAGACAUCAAGAAAAUAAUUUUCUGAUGAAUUGUUCAGAAGUUAUAAGCAAAAAAGUGCAUUUUUGGUAUCUCAACACCCAUAGGUGGCGCUGUUCCCAAAUUUGGCGUGGACCCCCAGAUCAUGGUGUAGAUGAAGUGUACCAAGUUUGGUAUCGAUUGAUCAAAGUUUGGCCGAGAUACAGCAUCUCAACCGAUUUUAGGUCAGUCUCAGUAAGUUCACAGCAUCAUAACUUUUUUUUUCACUAGUGUUCAAAAAAUUCUGUUCAGUCAUUUCUGUGCGGCUCAGUCCAAAGAACAUCUGAGCCAAAUUUCAGAAGAAUUGGACCAAUUUUGAAGGAGGAGUAGUGUUUAGACUGAAUACUGUACUUUUCAAAAUGGCCGCUACUGUAAUGGGCGGAGUCUUAAUGUAAAGUAUGGAAUGGAAUCUCCAUGAAGAGACAAAAUAGAUGUACUAAGUUUUAUUUUCAUAGAAUUAGUGGUUCAAGAGUUAUUAACGUUUGAAUGUUGAAUUUUUGAACUGGUGGUGGCGCUAUAGAGUUGGUCAUAGAGACCCCAAAGUUGGUCAGAUCACUAAUAAUGGUCAUCUCUACAAGUGUGCCAAAUUUUAUCAUUUUCCCACGUUCCCUUCAUAGGGCUGCCAUAGACCCCCAUUGGCCAAGAAGAAGAAGAAUAAUAAUAAAUAUAGCUGCAAGCAGCGAUACCGGGGCCAAGCCCUGAAGGGCUGUAGCCAGAGCAACGAGCGGGACGAAGCAAAACGGCCAAAACGGAACUUCCAUCGGACCGACGUUACCCACCCCGGAUUCGAUCCCACGACCUCUCGGGUUUGGGACCAGUGCCUUAGCUAAGUGCACCACAUUGGUUGACACACAGUUUGCAUGGCACAGAAGAGAGGUUAAGGUGUGAGAAUGUUCACAAAAGCAUCAGACCACGUGCUAACCAAUUAAUCAAGCUGCACCUGGUCUUAAAUUGACAGUAUAUCAGGGAGAGAGCAUGUGCUGCUCAGUUUAUCUGUUUUUCUACAGAAGGUACGUUUGUUUUAAAAGUGUCUGUGUGUUAAUUAUUUCUUCUUAGUUUGGAUUGUGGAUUUUUUGCUGAAGUGUUUAAUAUGUUCAUUUUGUUUGUUUUUUGUAAUGACCAAGUGUUCAAAGUGCCAACUCAUUUUAAGUGUUUUCUCUUUACUUGAAUUAGUUUUCUUAUUAUGGUAGUCUAUUGUUUGAUCUGUAAUACAAUUCUGGAUUUUAUUGGAAGGUAGGAUUUUGUGUGUUUUUGGAAAAGCAACGCACAAGAGUUUAGUAAUUCUGAUUCAGAUUGUUUGCAAAUUAUUUAAACAAAGUAAUUUAGUCUUCGUAGUCUACACUAUAUUUUCUUGAAAAUGGUCUCAUUAAUUGAUAGUUUAAUAAAGAGUUUAUUUAACUGUGAAAA